AGCCUACGGGAGGCAGCAGUGGGGAAUAUUGCACAAUUGGGGAAACCCUGAUGCAGCGACGCCGCGUGAGCGAAGAAGUAUUUCGGUAUGUAAAGCUCUAUCCGCAGGGGAGAAAAUGACGGUACCUGACUAAGAAGCCCCGGCUAAAUACGUGCCAGCAGCCGCGGUAAUACGUAUGGGGCAAGCGUUAUCCGGAUUUACUGGGUGUAAAGGGAGCGCAGGCGGCUUGGCAAGGCUGAUGUGAAAGGCUGGGGCUCAACCCCCGGACUGCAUUGGAAA
rnacentral:rRNA from 1 species